rnacentral:rRNA from 1 species
AGAGUUUGAUCCUGGCUCAGGAUGAACGCUGACAGAAUGCUUAACACAUGCAAGUCGAUGGGGAAGCGGCGCUUGCGCCGUGGCAACCAUGGCGGACGGGUGAGUAACGCGUAAAGAACUUGCCGGAUGGACCGGGAUAACAGCUGGAAACGGCUGGCAAGACCGGAUACUAUGGGCUGGCCGCAUGGCUGGCCCAUGAAAAGGGAUGCCGUCCGAGAGCUUUGCGUCCUAUUAGCUGGUUGGUAAGGUGACGGCUUACCAAGGCGAUGAUAGGUAGCCGGCCUGAGAGGGUGGACGGCCACAAGGGGACUGAGAUACGGCCCUUACUCCUACGGGAGGCAGCAGUGGGGAAUAUUGGACAAUGGGGGCAACCCUGAUCCAGCAAUUCUGUGUGCACGAAGAAGGUUUUCGGAUUGUAAAGUGCUUUCAGCAGGGAAGAAGGAAGUGACGGUACCUGCAGAAGAAGCGACGGCUAAAUACGUGCCAGCAGCCGCGGUAAUACGUAUGUCGCAAGCGUUAUCCGGAAUUAUUGGGCAUAAAGGGCAUCUAGGCGGCCAGAUAAGUCUGGGGUGAAAACUUGCGGCUCAACCGCAAGCCUGCCCUGGAAACUAUGUGGCUAGAGUACUGGAGAGGUGGACGGAACUGCACGAGUAGAGGUGAAAUUCGUAGAUAUGUGCAGGAAUGCCGAUGAUGAAGAUAGUUCACUGGACGGUAACUGACGCUGAAGUGCGAAAGCUAGGGGAGCAAACAGGAUUAGAUACCCUGGUAGUCCUAGCUGUAAACGAUGAUUACUGGGUGUGGGCAUGAAGAGUGUCCGUGCCGAAGCUAAUGCGAUAAGUAAUCCGCCUGGGGAGUACGGCCGCAAGGCUGAAACUCAAAGGAAUUGACGGGGACCCGCACAAGCGGUGGAGCAUGU